UACGUAGGGUCCGAGCGUUGUCCGGAAUUACUGGGCGUAAAGAGCUCGUAGGUGGUUUGUCGCGUUGUUCGUGAAAACUCACAGCUUAACUGUGGGCGUGCGGGCGAUACGGGCAGACUUGAGUACUGCAGGGGAGACUGGAAUUCCUGGUGUAGCGGUGGAAUGCGCAGAUAUCAGGAGGAACACCGGUGGCGAAGGCAGCCCCCUGGGCUAGCACUGACGCUGAGACACGAAAGCGUGGGUAGCAAACAGG
rnacentral:rRNA from 1 species